ensembl:lncRNA
GUGUGCUGUGUGUGUGUGUGUGUGUGAGUGUGUGUGUGUGUGUGUGUGUGUGUGUGUGUGUGUGUGUGUGUGUGUGUGUGUGUGUGUGCUGGUAACUCUGAUUUAUUUAGACUCUACACAGUGUGUAAUCAGUAAUAGUAAUAAUAAUAAUAAUAAUAAUAAUAAUAUGAAACAUUUCUGAAGAUUUCUCACAUCACACUGAUGAAUAAAAGCGACGAGAACACAGUCAGAGCGAACGCUGCUACAAGGAGCUGAAAAGAAAAGUGAGGAUUCGUUUUUAAUCAAAGAAUUAUUCUAGAUAGUUAUAAAUAUAAGUUAGAAACACUCAAAGAUGAAUAUUACAACAUAAAUAAAAGACAGGCACUGGAGAAAAGGAGGAAUAGAGGGAUAAAGAGUAGAGAAAGGGUGAAAAAAGAAAGAAUAUACAUACACACACACACACACACACACACACACACACACACACACACACAUAUAUAUAUAUAUAUAUAUAUAUAUAUAUAUAUAUAUACACAUAUUAAAUAUACAUAAAUAUACAUUCCUAAAGAAGCACUGUAUUUGUAAUGAGCUGAAAGGGUUGGAGGGAUAGAAGAUCUUUUUGUUGUUGUUGUUGUUUAAAAUGAAAAGAAUAGAUGGAGGGAUUGUAGAAAGAAAAAGUAAGUGAUGCAUAAAAAAAUGCUACAAAGAAAGAGAGAACAGACAAUGAGAAGAGAGAAAAAAAACAAAGAAUAGAAUAUGAGACACAAAUGAAAGAAAGCAAAAAACAAAGAAACAAACAAACAAAGGGGAGAAAAGAAUUAGAGAAAGAAAGAAAGAAAGAAAAAUAAAAGAAGAGAAUGAAAAAGAAAUAAACAAACAAUAAAGAGAGAACAGAGAAUGAGAACAGAAGAAAAAGGAAAGAAACAUACCAAAGAGAGAACAGAAUGAGAGAAAGAAUGAAAGAAGCAAAUAAAAGAAGAGAAUCAAAAGAAACAAACAAACAAAGGAGAGAACAGAGAUUGAGAAACAAAGAAAAAAAACAGAAAAAAAGCGAACAGAGAACGGCGAAUGAGAACAGAAGGAAAAAGAAAGAAAUGAACAGAGGAAGAAAGAAAGAAAGAGUUUGUGUUUAUGAAUAAUUUGCGCUUCCUGUGGUGGCGUUGCGAGCGUCGUGAUUGGUCAGUGAGAGCAGUGUGUUUGAACAUCACUACUGUGACGUUGUAAAUGAAUGAAAAACGUCUCAUGUGUUGAAUCUUUGUUGUUGUUUGCCUGUGUUUCCGUGGGGAAGUCUGAGCGUUUGAGCGGUUUUGAAGUUGAAACCGGUUCAGACGAGUAAUAACCGCAGCAGAGCGCCAUGUGUGUAUGUUUACAACGCAGCGUACACGUCUCCUCCUGCUUCACAGCGUUCAGCGGGUUUAUCUUCCACACGGACGAACUGCGAGAAAACGCAGAGGAACACAUGAUUCGCAGUGUGUGACUCGACCUGUUCCUGUCCCUGCGUUUUUAACCAGUCGUGUUCAGAUGGUGUCGCGUCCAUCCUGUUUACCAGAACGUUCCACAUGCACGGCUCUCUCGCGUGGCAUCCGUGACUCUGCAAGCCGACAUUUUCACGAGUCGUUAACGAACGUGGCUAUUUCCUCAGUAUCACAUGCAUGAAGAACCCAUGGAAUUUCGGUUAGCGCUCGAUGCUACGUGUCACUACAGUGUAGAUGUAGUUGUAUGAAGUGUUUUUUAAAUAAUUUAUCAACACAUCUGAGGAAAACGUCGAUAUUCCGCACAGUUUGGUGUCAUUUCUACUCUCGCUGCAUCUUUAUUAUUGUCUGGAUCUACUAGCUAGACCAAUCAUUCGCCUGAGUUUUAGCAAGGUGGCUGUAAUUUGUGCUCUCACAGCUGAUUGGCUGUCGGCUGGUCAGCCCAUGUGACAUCAUCGGCAGUUGGCAGUAGGAAUUCAGAUUCUGGAACGUUCCAUAGGUGUAUCGUAGGGGGAAACUUUCCCGCCAUUUUUAUCUGUUCGUUGUUUAUAAAUGAAGAAAUGUUCUCGCAGAACUCUAGAAAACGUGAUUGAACAGAACCUGCUAAAGAACUACACCGCUUUUUCAGCCUGGUAUUCAUUUAUAUAGUGCUGUUUAUCAAACACAGUUUAUCAAAAAUGUUCUUUUUUUUUUUAUCCAAAUACUUACAUUUGUCUGUACAGG